AAAUUGAAGAGUUUGAUCAUGGCUCAGAUUGAACGCUGGCGGCAGGCCUAACACAUGCAAGUCGGGCGGUAACACGGGGAGCUUGCUCCCGGGUGACGAGCGGCGGACGGGUGAGUAAUGUCUGGGAAACUGCCUGAUGGAGGGGGAUAACUACUGGAAACGGUAGCUAAUACCGCAUAACGUCGCAAGACCAAAGAGGGGGACCUUCGGGCCUCUUGCCAUCAGAUGUGCCCAGAUGGGAUUAGCUAGUAGGUGGGGUAACGGCUCACCUAGGCGACGAUCCCUAGCUGGUCUGAGAGGAUGACCAGCCACACUGGAACUGAGACACGGUCCAGACUCCUACGGGAGGCAGCAGUGGGGAAUAUUGCACAAUGGGCGCAAGCCUGAUGCAGCCAUGCCGCGUGUAUGAAGAAGGCCUUCGGGUUGUAAAGUACUUUCAGCGGGGAGGAAGGUGUUGUGGUUAAUAACCACAGCAAUUGACGUUACCCGCAGAAGAAGCACCGGCUAACUCCGUGCCAGCAGCCGCGGUAAUACGGAGGGUGCAAGCGUUAAUCGGAAUUACUGGGCGUAAAGCGCACGCAGGCGGUCUGUCAAGUCGGAUGUGAAAUCCCCGGGCUCAACCUGGGAACUGCAUUCGAAACUGGCAGGCUAGAGUCUUGUAGAGGGGGGUAGAAUUCCAGGUGUAGCGGUGAAAUGCGUAGAGAUCUGGAGGAAUACCGGUGGCGAAGGCGGCCCCCUGGACAAAGACUGACGCUCAGGUGCGAAAGCGUGGGGAGCAAACAGGAUUAGAUACCCUGGUAGUCCACGCCGUAAACGAUGUCGACUUGGAGGUUGUGCCCUUGAGGCGUGGCUUCCGGAGCUAACGCGUUAAGUCGACCGCCUGGGGAGUACGGCCGCAAGGUUAAAACUCAAAUGAAUUGACGGGGGCCCGCACAAGCGGUGGAGCAUGUGGUUUAAUUCGAUGCAACGCGAAGAACCUUACCUACUCUUGACAUCCAGAGAACUUAGCAGAGAUGCUUUGGUGCCUUCGGGAACUCUGAGACAGGUGCUGCAUGGCUGUCGUCAGCUCGUGUUGUGAAAUGUUGGGUUAAGUCCCGCAACGAGCGCAACCCUUAUCCUUUGUUGCCAGCGGUCCGGCCGGGAACUCAAAGGAGACUGCCAGUGAUAAACUGGAGGAAGGUGGGGAUGACGUCAAGUCAUCAUGGCCCUUACGAGUAGGGCUACACACGUGCUACAAUGGCGCAUACAAAGAGAAGCGACCUCGCGAGAGCAAGCGGACCUCAUAAAGUGCGUCGUAGUCCGGAUUGGAGUCUGCAACUCGACUCCAUGAAGUCGGAAUCGCUAGUAAUCGUAGAUCAGAAUGCUACGGUGAAUACGUUCCCGGGCCUUGUACACACCGCCCGUCACACCAUGGGAGUGGGUUGCAAAAGAAGUAGGUAGCUUAACCUUCGGGAGGGCGCUUACCACUUUGUGAUUCAUGACUGGGGUGAAGUCGUAACAAGGUAACCGUAGGGGAACCUGCGGUUGGAUCACCUCCUUA
rnacentral:rRNA from 1 species